ensembl:lncRNA
GGGGGAUGGAGCAGGGCCAAGGGUUCAACUGCCACACUCUCUGUACCUGGUUUCCUGGGGUGAGCCUGCUGUAUGGGCUUCCACACCCCAUUGUUUCCUCUUUACAAGGGAUUCAUGGCCGCACUUCUUCCCUCCUCUGCCUCAUUUUUAAGCCCCACUUCCCUUGAUCAAUGAGGAGUGGGACUUCCUAUUGGAAGUCAGGAUUUGGGGUCCACUCUCAGCUUCAUGGCCUGCUUUUGGUGUCCCGUUAUAAUCAUUUAUUCAGUCCACAAAUGUCCACUGAGCGCCUACUGUAUGCUACUCUGAGUUUUCAGAUCCUAGUUGUUCCGUAUAGAGGGCAUCACCCAGGAGCCUUCCAAAGGAAAUGAGUUUUGUCCAAAAGCUAGCUUCCAGACUCUCUCUGCCCCCAACUGUGUGGCCUGUGUGUCCCCUCUCUGGCCUUCUGCUUUCUUUUUUUUUGUUUUGUUUUGUUUUCCCUAGGAAGAUUAGCCCUGAGCUAACUACCGCCAGUCCUCCUCUUUUUUGCUGAGGAAGACUGGCCCUGAGCCAACACCCGUGCCCAUCUUCCUCUACUUUGUAUGUGGGACACCUACCACAGCAUGGCAUGCCAAGCGGUGCCAUGUCUGCACCCGGGAUCCAAACCCGCGAAUCCCGGGCCACCAAGAAGGGGAACGUGCGCACUUAACCGCUGCGCCACCGGGCCAGCCCCAUGGCUUCUGCUUUCUUAUCUGCAAAGCUGGGCGCUGGGGAAAAUGAGACUUCCAACUAAUAGAUGGAGAAGGAGAGAAGAAAUCGAAAAUCCCUACUUGCCAAGUACCACCAUAAUAAUUGUUUUAAGCAGAGAUCACCAAGAAAUGCUAACAAGUGUCAACUAGUGAUUCGCAAUCCUGGAUGAACUUCAGAAUCACCUGGAGCUUUGAAAUAUUCCAAUGCCUGGGCCUCAUCCCCAGAGAUUUUGAUUUCACGGCUCAGGCACUGAGAAGAAUGUUAUGUGUGGCACUCAACUGGAAAAGCCAUCAAAACUGGGGUACACGGCCACUCAACAUAAAGAUGCACUUCUCUUUGCAAUGGGGACGUUGAUAUUACUUUGUUCUGACCAAUGGGAUGGACGUUGAAGUGUCAGGUAGUACUUUCACAGUAAUCCUUUUAAAGAGAGAGUUGACAUGCACCCCUUGCCUCUUUUCUUCACCCUCUCCUCCGCCUUGCUGCUGAGAACGUGGAUAACAUCAUCUUGGGCCAUGAGCAUGAAGACUGCUCGCUCCGAGCUCAGAGCAGUGAGCUGCAAGGAGCUCGAUCUCUGAGGACUGUGGAUCAGAGCGACCGUGCCACGUCACUUAUGCACUGUACAUGAGAGGGAGAAAUCAACUUUGCAUGUUGUUUAAGCUAUUUUCGCCUCUACUUUCUCAUGUUUGCUCCAUUUAUUCAAGAUAGACAAGGACUAUGAAUAUGUGUGUGUGUGUGUGUGUUUGCUAAUGUUAAAUAUAUGGUAGGAUAAACCAUUAAAUUUAAAAAAUGUAGUUACCAAAAAGGAGCUGGAAGGAUUAGGGUGGAUGGAACAGGAAUAAAAUCUAGAGUUACGUGAAUAUAUUUUGUUGUGUAGAUGUACCAUUGAAACCAUGUAAAUAUUUUAUAUGCUUAUAAACAUAAAUUAAAAUAUCAAUCACUUAAGAUAACAAACAAAUGAAAAUAAAUGUUAUAUGUUGAGUUAGUGGCAUAACCAAACAGGAAAGGACUAUUUCAAAUGACUUCAUAACAUAGCAAUUUGUCUGUGGAUCUCCAGUGUGAUAUACUUUAACAACAAAAAGAAUUGAAAAAAAUCUCUUAAAAUAUAUUCAAUAAUCAUACUAUUGUUGGUAGUGUUGGUAUUGCUAUAGAUGCAGUUGCAUGUAAUUGUGGG